CAAAUUAAAACUUGUAAAUAAAGUUUCUCAUUUACAUUGGGAUAAAUUCGUGUAAAUCUAGUAAUUUGA
rnacentral:tRNA from 1 species